AAUAAAUAAAUAAAUGAAUAAAUAAAUGAAUAAAUGAAUAAAUGAAUGAAUAAAUGAAUAAAUGAAUAAAUAAAUAAAUGAAUAAAUAAAUAUAUUUUCCUUUUCUCGUUUGUACACUUUUCAAUUAGAAAGGAGAAACAGAAAAAGCUCAUGUAAAUAUAUGUCUCAUGCUGAAAAAUGAAAACGUGUGUCAAGUAUGUAAACAUUUGAUAAUGUUAUGUAAUAGAUUAAUAUCGUCUUUAUUUUAUAAUGAAACAAAUAAUAAUAUUGAAAAUGAAUUAAAAAAAAUAUAUACGUAAUAUAUUAUAUUGUUCAAAUAAAUUGGAUAUAAAUAAUAAAGAAUGUUUGAGAAGUAAUUUUAUUAAACAUUUUGGGAAAAAGUGUAUUGAGCUUAUUGAAAAUGAUUUUUUGUUGCUUGACAGAACUAUGUGUACACUUAUAAAUAAAUACAUGUAUAGUCCCAAAGAAAUUAGAGAAGUUGAAAAUACAUUUUUAUAUGAUAUGAAUUAUGCUAUGAAUAAUAAAAAAAGAACAAUGUCUUUGUUAUGUUUGUACUUAUGUAGAAAAUAAUUAUGAUUAUACAAUACGUUUGAAAAAAAAAAGAUAUUCUUGAAUUAGUUAAUAUUUAUGCACAACGUUCUGAGGAUAUACACGAUAAUGAACAAAAAGAAAUAUUAAUGCAAAUCGAAACAAAAUUAAUUUCAAAUUUAAAUAAAUAUCUUUUGGGAAAAUAGUAAUAACUUUUUUUCAAAAAAAAUUAAAGCUCAUUUUUAACAUACAUAUUAUACACCAUAUAUACACAUAUCUACGCAGUGCAUAUUUUAUUGUAAUUAUUAUACUUAAAUGGUUUUAGCUGAGUGGUUUUAUCGAAGUGGUUUUAAUGAAGUGGUUUUAUUAUGCAUUUACAGAAAUAAUUUAAAAUUUGUUUAAAGUGGUACAUACAUAUAAUAUGCACAUACACAUGGUUUACUCAUUUUUUUGUGACAUUUAACGGACCGGAGCUAUUAUAUAUACCUAUUUAUUACAAAAACAUUUUUGUAAUAGCAAUAAAAUAAAUAUUAUAUUUUUAAAAAAAUUAAAGAAAAGUAAAAAAAAAAAAAAAAAAAAGUUGAAAAAAAAAGCUGAAAAAAAA